AGUAGAGUGGCGGACGGGUGAGUAACGCGUGGGAAUCUACCCAGUAGUGGGGGACAACUACCGGAAACGGUAGCUAAUACCGCAUACGCCCUAUGGGGGAAAGGCUUCGGCCGCUAUUGGAUGAGCCCGCGUCAGAUUAGCUAGUUGGUAGGGUAAAGGCCUACCAAGGCAACGAUCUGUAGCUGGUCUGAGAGGACGAACAGCCACACUGGGACUGAGACACGGCCCAGACUCCUACGGGAGGCAGCAGUGGGGAAUAUUGGACAAUGGGCGAAAGCCUGAUCCAGCAAUGCCGCGUGUGUGAAGAAGGCCUGCGGGUUGUAAAGCACUUUCAGUUGGGAAGAUGAUGACGUUACCAACAGAAGAAGCACCGGCUAAAUCCGUGCCAGCAGCCGCGGUAAUACGGAUGGUGCGAGCGUUAAUCGGAAUUACUGGGCGUAAAGCGCGCGUAGGCGGCUAAGUCAGUCAGAAGUGAAAGCCCCGGGCUCAACCUGGGAAUUGCUUUUGAUACUGCUUAGCUAGAGUUUGGUAGAGGAUAGUGGAAUUCCAGGUGUAGCGGUGAAAUGCGUAGAUAUCUGGAGGAACAUCAGUGGCGAAGGCGACUGUCUGGACCAAAACUGACGCUGAGGUGCGAAAGCGUGGGUAGCAAACAGGAUUAGAUACCCUGGUAG
rnacentral:rRNA from 1 species